AGAGUUUGAUCAUGGCUCAGGACGAACGCUGGCGGCGUGCUUAACACAUGCAAGUCAAGGGGGCCCGCAAGGGUAACCGGCGAACGGGUGCGUAACACGUGAGCAAUCUGCCUAGAUGUGGGGGAUAGCCGGCCCAACGGCCGGGUAAUACCGCAUACGCUCACCGGGUGGCAUCACCUGGUGAGGAAACAUUUUUGGCAUCUAGAGGAGCUCGCGGCCUAUCAGCUAGUUGGUGGGGUAACGGCCUACCAAGGCAUUGACGGGUAGCUGGUCUGAGAGGAUGGCCAGCCACAUUGGGACUGAGAUACGGCCCAGACUCCUACGGGAGGCAGCAGUGGGGAAUAUUGCGCAAUGGCCGAAAGGCUGACGCAGCGACGCCGCGUGGGGGAUGAAGCAUUUCGGUGUGUAAACCCCUGUUGCUCGGGACGAACAACUGGUUUUGACCAGUCUGACGGUACCGAGUGAGGAAGCACCGGCUAACUCCGUGCCAGCAGCCGCGGUAAUACGGAGGGUGCGAGCGUUGUCCGGAAUCACUGGGCGUAAAGGGCGCGUAGGCGGCCUGCUAAGUGUGCGGUGAAAGCCUGGGGCUCAACCCCAGGUCUGCCGUGCAAACUGGUGGGCUUGAGCACUGUAGAGGCAGGUGGAAUUCCGGGUGUAGCGGUGGAAUGCGUAGAGAUCCGGAAGAACACCGGUGGCGAAGGC
rnacentral:rRNA from 1 species